UCGACUUACUUCGAUUUUUCACCAUUCCCAGACCCGUUGCUACUAUGAUACCAAUUUCUAAUGGUUGAGCUGAAAUUCUCAACCGAAAUACGUAAAUUUCAACAACACAAUUAGAAUCCAAAGGAAAUUCUCAACAUCCAGUCUUCAAUUAGGAUUCAGAAUGCAAUUACAGAGGAGAAAAUGAUUAAACAGAAAGAAAACAGAAAAGAGGAGAGAAGAAGUUCAGAGACAAUUUUUCGAAAAAUUCGUUUUCCUUUCCCUCCUUCUCCUGACAUUAUAACAGAAUAGCAAUUGUUUUUUUGGAAACACGCUUUAUAUAAAAUGCACUUAGCCUAUUAAUUCUCAAUAGAAAAUGACACCGUGCUGAAUUUGAAGUUUAAUUAGCCGUUGCAGUUCCUUUUUCCUUCUUCUUUCUUGUUCUGGCACUUCUCUGUCCCUUCCUUCCCUAAUUCAACUGAUUUUUCCUCUCUUUGUUUCUAUCAUAACAACUGUGAAUUACGCCUCAAAGAUGACUUACAAUUAAUGAAACACAACAACGGAUCGGUUGUUGAGUAUGUUUAUGUUUUCAAAGCACCAACUAUAUACAAUUGGUAGUCCAAUUGAUGGCACCAACAAGGUGCAUUGGUUUCUCCUUCGGCUUGGCAGUGAUUUCUCAAGCUUCUACACAGCACAGAUAGCCCAAACCUCUCCCCCAUCAUUUGCAGAUUUAGUCUCCAAAGUAGAAAUCUUUGAAAUUUUUCAGAAAUCCCUUGACUCAUCUUCCUCUAUUGCCGUACCCUUUAUUGUCACCAAAAAAUUCACCCAUCGUGGUGGUUCUUCUCACAACCAUUGAGGUCACUUCAAUGAGCGUAGGAGCAGUUCAUGCAGUCAUGUAUAGGGGCGCUCCAACUCUGGCUAAAAG
rnacentral:lncRNA from 1 species